rnacentral:rRNA from 1 species
AGUGAACGCUGGCGGUAGGCCUAACACAUGCAAGUCGAACGGCAGCACAGUAAGAGCUUGCUCUUACGGGUGGCGAGUGGCGGACGGGUGAGGAAUACAUCGGAAUCUACUUUUUCGUGGGGGAUAACGUAGGGAAACUUACGCUAAUACCGCAUACGACCUACGGGUGAAAGCAGGGGAUCUUCGGACCUUGCGCGAUUGAAUGAGCCGAUGUCGGAUUAGCUAGUUGGCGGGGUAAAGGCCCACCAAGGAGACGAUCCGUAGCUGGUCUGAGAGGAUGAUCAGCCACACUGGAACUGAGACACGGUCCAGACUCCUACGGGAGGCAGCAGUGGGGAAUAUUGGACAAUGGGCGCAAGCCUGAUCCAGCCAUACCGCGUGGGUGAAGAAGGCCUUCGGGUUGUAAAGCCCUUUUGUUGGGAAAGAAAAGCAGCAGGUUAAUACCCCGCUGUUCUGACGGUACCCAAAGAAUAAGCACCGGCUAACUGCGU